rnacentral:SRP_RNA from 1 species
GUUGAACGUAGUGGUACCCACCUGUAAUACCAGCUAGAGUGGAAGCUGAGGCUGAUGGAUUUCUUGAGCUCAGGAGUUCUGACCUGCAGUGGGCUAAGCUAAUCAGGUGUCCACACUAAGUCUGCCAUCAAUAUAGUCAGCUCUCUGGAGUGGGGAGCCAAGAGCACAAGGUUGCCUAAGGAAGAGUGAACCGGUUCAGGUCAGAAAUGGAGCAGGCUAAGGCUUUUGUGUUAAUUAGUAGCAAUUCAUGAGUGAGUACCCAACCUGGGUAAGUUAGGAAGACCCAGUCUCCA